UAGGGGUGGUGUUAAAAAGGAGGUAUGACACGAACAAAUGUUUAAGUGUAGGAGGAUGUAACGACCCGGCCGGUCGUUGUUAAAAUUUACACCCCGAUCCCCCAUUAACUGCUUCCCCUAAGUUCAUUUCUGCUAUUUUGGUUUGUCGUGACGUCGGUACUGGGUUUUGGAGAGUUUUGGGACAGUUAGUCCCUAAAAGAGAGCUUAAGUGUUGGAAAGAGGUCCGUAGUCGGAACAGUGUGAAGACGACCUCAGAAUGAAAAACUAAUGGUUCUGUUAGCUCCAUUAAGUGAUUUCAGGGUUGGGAGCGUGUUCGGAAUAUAUUUUGGAAGUCCAUAGCUCAUUUAGGCUUGAAACGCUGAAGUCCGAAUUUUUGAAGUUUCCGGUCCGACGGUGAGUUUUUGAUCCGAGGGUCGGAAUGAGAUUCUGAAAGUUGCAGUAGCCUCGUCAUGUCAUUUGGGAUGUGUGUGCAAAAUUUCAGGUCAUUCAGACGUGUUUUGGUUAGGUUUUUAUCGAAAGCGUGUUGUGAUGAAAUUUAAAGUUCUUAGGCUUAAAUCAUUGAUUAAAUCGAAUUUCCGGUGUUGUUUUAGGUGUUUAAGGAUUGGUACAAGUUUGAAUAGGAUGUUAGUUAGAAAAAUCAAAUUGAGCUCGGGGAAGGGCGAUUUUGAGAGGGUUUUGAAGAGGAGAUUAUUGGUAACAUUUCUUUGAUCCCUUCUAGUUAUUUUCAUCAUUAUGUAGUUAAAUCUAUCAUUAAAAUUCGAAUUGAUUUCUUUGAUCCCUUCUAGUUAUAUUUCAUCAUUUUGUAGCUAAAUCUAUCAUUUAAAAUUCGAAUUGAGGAUAAAAAAAAUUGGAAAAAUUGGGUGAAACUUCAUAGGCUAAACUAUUGAGUUUUGAAUGGGCAUUUUACCUCCGAUUUGGGAGAUUUUUAUAUGGUUAGACUCGUGAGAGUACGGGGGUUCUGAAAAUGUAAAAAUUAACUGAUUUCGAGACGUUAUCCUGAGGGGCAAUUUGGUUAUUUUACCUAUUUUCGCGCCUUAGCUCUAAAUUUAAUAGUGGAAUCAGUUGUUUGCAAUGUUAUUUAUGAUAUGUAACAUAAUUGAAUAGAUUUGGGCCAUUUAGAGUCGGAUAUUCGUGGCAAAUGCGUGGUUCCUAGUUGAGUUUGAGCCGGUUCAAGGUAAGUGGCUUGUCUAACCUUGUGUGGGGGACCUUUUCCUUUAGGAUAUAUUAUUUGGUAAUUGACUGCCAUGUACGUGAGGUGACGAGCGCGUACUUGAGCUAAUCAUUGAAAAUUCGGGUUUUACUUAAGAUAUUGAAACUGAGUUUUCUCUCGUAUUUGCUUUAUCUUACUUGUAAUUAUAACCUGUGUUAGAUUAGAAAGACAUGUUAAGUUGAUUUAACCUGCCUACUUGCUUAAAUUGCCUUAACUGCACUGCGUGAGACAUGUUAGGCUAGAACUAUCUGGUGCUUGUAUUGUUGUACUUCAUUUAUGAAUAUUCUCUGAUUGUGGUUGCGCAUUUACAUUUGGACUACGGAUUAGAUUCUCGGGAGAUCCCCCUGUAUAUUUACUUUGGGACUACGAGAUAGAUUCUCGGGAGAUCCCCCUUGUAUAUUUACUUUGGGACUACGGGUUAGAUUCCCGGGAGAUCCCCCUGCAUAUUUACUUUGGGACUACGGGUUAGAUUCCCGGGAGAUCCCCCCUGCAUAUUUACUUUGGGACUACGGGUUAGAUUCCCGGGAGAUCCCCCCUGCACGUUUAUGGAAUGGGCUACAGGACGGUAUCCUGAGAGAUCCUCGUUAUUAGUAUUGAUAUAUAAAUGGACUACAGGGCGGUAUCCAGGGAGAUCCUCGUUAUUCGUAUUGACAUGGAAAUGGACUACAGGAUGGUAUCCUAGGAGAUCCUCGUAAUUGGCACUAAUAUUGAACUGUUUUACUUUAUGUUAUGUUAUCCUCGAUGUGUUGGUUGUUGUUUGUGUAACCUGACUUACUUCACAGUUGUAUUUCCAUUAUUUCUGCUUACUGUAUACUGUUGUCAGCAUUCUUAUUGUAUUGUUUAAUCUCAGUAGGUCACUGACCUUCCUCGUCACUAAUAAGGCUUGGCACUUACUGAGUACUGUUGUGGUGUACUCAUGCCUCUUCUGUGCAUGUUUUUUAUGUUCAGACCCAGGUAUUUCUUAUUAGGCGCACUAUUCCCGAGGCAGAGACGUCUAGUAGAGACUUCGAGGUACAUCUACCGCAUCCGCAGACCAGGAGUCCCUAUCUUAUUCUAGCAUUUAGUAGAUAGUUUUCCCCUUCUUUCAGUUGCUUAGACAUUCUACAGUUAGAGCAAUAUAUUACAUUUCUAUUAGCCUGCGUUGCCCGUGAGUUUUCGGGUUUUGGGAUGAGAUUGUAGACUUCAGCGUUUUAUUGUUGAGUUGUAUAUGCCAAGUGGCACUUAUAUACCGUUUUCUUCUAGUUUUGCUUAAAUUUAUUAAAUGUUCCGCAAGUUAUAUUAUAUUUCUGCAUUGUUAGGCUUACUUAGUUGUAGGAACUAGGUGCCAUCACGACAUGUUCAUGGAGAGUGAACUGUAGAUCGUGACAUUAUUAUUCGUAUAUGUGUAAUCAAUCUUAGGUCUUCAUAUGUCUUGCUAUAGAGAACAAUUAUGCUUUAAAUUCUGAUAAAGAUUAUACCAUGCAUAAUUUUUUUCCUAUGAGUGAUUAGACUUGUAUCAGGCUUGAUGCUGUAGACAUAAUACGCACUUUGAUUAGCUGCCUUGAAGGUUAAUUUUAAUAUUGAAACUGGCUGCUUAAAUAAAUUCUAUUAUUGAGGUCAGCCAGUCUGAUUGUGCACUAAGGACUUACCGACAAUGUUCAUAGAUUUCUUUAGUUAAAUGACAUACUGUACUUAAUCAUAGCAAAUUGCUAUUCCAUUUAUUUCAGCUUAAGAUCGAUUAUGCGAGUGCUUUCGUACACAAUAUAGCAAACGUUAUAAUAGGUAGUUGUGGACCAUUGUCAAAACAAGUUUUGCAUUUGGAAUAUAUGUGAAGAUGGAAUGUGUCUACUUGUUGGAUCAGGAUGUGGUUUGCAUUUGGAGAAUAAGCCUAUAAGAUGAUAUCUCUCUAGGAUUUUUGCAGGUGAUUUUGCUCCUUUUUCUGUGAUUUUGCUGAUGUCAAUACUUUUUUUGCACUACAAAGAAGAAGAACAAUUACAAUAUGGAGAAAAAAUUACCUUUCGUGAAUAUAGAUACCCUCAUGAAUGUAAAAGUUGUCACUUUCGAAGUAAAAUGUAUCUAUUUUUGUCGAUAUGUAAAUUACUAUAUGUUUAUUUAUGUAUAUUUAGUAUUCUCAUGGAUGUGAAUAUUGUGCCACUUUCUAAUGAUGCCUCAAUUUCUAUCUCUUCUAUGCAAUUUCGUAUCAACACAAAUUAAUCACAAAUAGUAAUUCCAUAUUCUACAGUAUUUGGUCGUGCUAUGCACGGCCAGCAACCAUCUAGUU
rnacentral:lncRNA from 1 species